rnacentral:rRNA from 1 species
UGAAUACGAGACGCUACGGCGUCGAAGCAGUCUAUGUCAGACUUCCAAGAAAAGCUCGCAAUGUCAUAAACAAAUAAUGCCUGUACCAUAACCGACACAGGUGGGUAGGUAGAGUAUACUAAGGGGCGCGAGAUAACUCUCUCUAAGGAACUCGGCAAAAUGACUCCGUAACUUCGGGAGAAGGAGUGCCUUAUUUAUAAGGUUGCAAUAACAAGAUCCAAGCAACUGUUUAUCAAAAACACAGGUCUCCGCUAAGUCGUAAGACGAUGUAUGGGGGCUGACGCCUGCCCAGUGCCAGAAGGUUAAAGAAGUUGGUUAGCAUUCGCGAAGCUGAUAACUGAAGCCCUGGUGAACGGCGGCCGUAACGAUAACGGUCCUAAGGUAGCGAAAUUCCUUGUCGGGUAAGUUCCGACCCGCACGAAAGGCGUAAUGAUUUGGAUACUGUCUCGGAGAGGGGCUCGGUGAAAUAGACUUGUCUGUGAAGAUGCGGACUACCUGCACCUGGACAGAAAGACCCUAUGAAGCUUUACUGUAACUUGAAAUUGAAAUUGGACUUUAUUUGCGCAGCAUAGGUGGGAGGCGUUGAGAGUAUUCUUGCGGGAAUAUUGGAGCCAUCAGUGAGAUACCACUCUUGUAAUGUUAGAUUUCUAACUUUGUAUCAUUAUCUGGUCAAAGAACAGUUUCAGGCGGGCAGUUUGACUGGGGCGGUCGCCUCCCAAACGGUAACGGAGGCGUACAAAGGUUUCCUCUGAACGGGUAGAAAUCGUAUCUAGAGUGUAAAGGCAUAAGGAAGCUUGACUGUGAGACCUACAAGUCGAGCAGGGACGAAAGUCGGUCUUAGUGAUCUGACGGUGCUGAGUGGAAAGGCCGUCACUCAACGGAUAAAAGUUACUCUAGGAUAACAGGCUGAUCUCCCCCAAGAGUUCACAUCGACGGGGAGGUUUGGCACCUCGAUGUCGGCUCAUCGCAUCCUGGGGCGGUAGUACGUCCCAAGGGUUGGGCUGUUCGCCCAUGAAAGCGGUACGCGAGCUGGGUUCAGAACGUCGUGAGACAGUUCGGUCCAUAUCCGGUGUAGGCGUUAGAAUAUUGAGAGGAGCCUUCUUUAGUACGAGAGGACCGAGAAGGACAUACCUCUGGUGUACCAGUUAUCGUGCCAACGGUAAACGCUGGGUAGCUAUGUAUGGAGAGGAUAACCGCUGAAAGCAUCUAAGUGGGAAGCCCACCUCAAGAUAAG